CUGGCAAAAGAGUAGUGCUGUGGGGUAGUAGGGCACCAUCUUGUAAUGAUUUGUGUCCUCUUUGCUUUCUUUCUUGCUUCAUGACUCUGUUUCUCUAUUUUAGGGUAAAAGCUUUGUGAUAGAAGAGAAAUACUUGCAGCAUGCCUACCGUUUCCUUUCAACACUACGAUCCUGCUUGCUGCUUUCCUAUGAUGGACUGUACAGUUAUUUCAUCUCCGUAUCAGAAACGCUGCCUUCCUCAUGCAAGCUGGAGCUUGAAAAACUGGAUCUGAAAGUCCGGCUCAGUGAGUUAUCUGACAAAGUGAUGG